CGGGGGGCAGGGGGUGUGUGCCAAACUCCUUCUUUGCAGCGUAGAAAGCUUCUGAAUUUCAAGCAGAAAGUGGAAGGAGCUCCACAGAGCAAUUUUCCUCUUUCCUUGGGCUGCGUGUGCAGAGCGUAGACAAUGAAAAUCUCCGCCCCCUCCCCCAUGCUCUCUAGUCUACAAGAUUUUUUUUCUUUCCUUCACAACGAUGGAAGCUAUGUAAAAUCAAAUACACAGAGAUGUACUUUUUUUUUUUAAGGCACAGACUAACAAACCAAAGGACCUGACCACGGAUUAUCCAAGAACGCACCUGCUGGGGAGCGCUCUGGGGUCUCCGCACAAAACCUGCUCUUGAGCCCUUUGGCUUUCUUCAAGCGAGCGCAGUCCGUCCAUCCCCCCCUGGCCCACCCAGCCGCAAGGGAUGCUGUGAAAAGAGCCGCUGCUUGCCGCCUCCGGCCUGCCGUCCAGAGGGCUCCGCCCGUAGAGGUCAACUCCCCUCAUUCUUCUUUCCAUCUUGCCCUCCCUCCGCCGAGCCCAGACUCGGAUCUCCUCCCGACUCCCGACUCCCGCCGCAGUCAGAGAGAGCACAUCUGCUGCGCUGCCCUUAAAUCUACGCCCAGAGCGGGGCUCAGACCCGAUCUCUGCUCUCCAGAGCCAGAGGAAGCUGGAGCAAGCAGUCUUUUCUCUUCGCAGUAAAAUCAUAGCCAGACCAGAUGGGCCCCAGCUCUCCCGGGACUCGGCAGGUGCUGUUGAGUUAAUUUUUCCGCAAUACAAAGAAGGAGGACCCAGCCGGCCUGGGAUUCUGAUCUUUUCCAAAAUUUCCCAACCAAAAUCGGUCUAUCAAAGGCGUAUACGUGUGUUUGUCGGACAUACAAACAUGCAUGAUUAUAUCCGCUUUUUCUGCUAGAUCUCUGGCAACAGGGGAUGAGUGACAAAGGUUUCUGCAGCAGAACACUCAUGGAGUGGUUCUUAAAGACUUGCCUUUCCUUACAAAUGUCUUAGGACGGGAUUCAGGGCGAACCAACUCAGUUAAUUGCCUUCAGUAAAAUAACACGAUUACGAAAUUAGAUCUGCACCAGAGGGGUAAUUAACUUCGAUCCAUGUCAUCAUUUGAAAACUAGAUUUAUAGACAUAUGUAUGGGUUUUAGGUGCGCUGUAAAUGGCAUGCAGAUGUAUGCAUAAGAAUCGCAGACUCAUGCACCCUCUACUCUUCAACCAUGCAGACUAAUUAAUGGCAACUCUGACAGAUGUGGAGGGAGGAAAGCUGAGGUGGGAGUACUGCUCAGAGUUACAACUCUAGGAGUAGGGACUCCAAGCCUAGAGCUCCAAGAGGGGGUGAAGGGCAGAGAGAAAAUUAUAGUAAUAGUUGCAAUGAGUCACUUGCUUCUAGAUCAAGAUCAGAGACUCUGCUCUCCGUGUUCACAGCGGACCUUGAUUUAAUGUCAUACAAUUAAGGCACGCGGUGAAUGCCAAGAGCGGAGCCUACGGCUGCACUUGAAGGACAUCAGAGAGAAGUUAGAAAGGGUGGGGAGAAACAAUUGCUGAAUUCUAGAAUGAACCCAUCCUGUGAGACACAAGGAUCCCUCGCAUUGAUUCAAAAUCUUUAGAAUGCAAGACAGUCAAAUGUUUUUCAGCGAGAAUCUGGGAAAUCCGCAUGCAUAUUCCCAAGGGGAAUAUUAGAGGUUUCAUUGACAGCUGUCAGGAGAGCCGUAGUUCCCAUUGGUGCAAAUGGUCUAGCAGUCGGCACUGAGAGAGUGCUGGCCUUUUCAAAAUAAAAUAGAUUAAGAUUGUCCACAAUUCCGGGUCCGGUCGAACUGGGAAAACAAAACGGGUGAGAAGGGUGUAGCAUUAAAGAAACCCCAGACAACACUGAGUAAGAAACCUCAAAUAACUCAAUUAUCAGUGAAAAUAGGACCCCCGCCCCAAGCUUUUCACUAUUCUCCCAGUGGCUACCCAGUCUCAUGGCAGCCUUGUCUGGAUUUAAAAGGCCAAGGCAAAGUGACAAUACCCAAAUCAGUCAAUAUUGCCCAAUAAGAGGUAAAGGCCAAGCCAGGAACUCUAAGCCUUGGUAAAUUAAUUUAUUUGGAAGACCAUGAGGUACUUAGUUCAGGUAGGUUCCAUAACCUCAAAGCCUAAGGAAUCCACCGCUGAGAAAGAGCCUUUGUUCUGUGGUGGCCUGUCUGGCCUGGAACAAAGGAGAGGUUGGAGAAGGACAACCCAAAGUGGCCGCACCCUCCUUGCCUUGCUGACAGGAUCACCUUCCUCUUCCUCUUCCUCCUCCGUAAUCUCCUCCCCCUCCUCUUGUGGUAAUUCUGCAAGCAAGGCAAUAGAAUCAUAGAAUAGCUUCUUCUCUACCCAGCCCCAAACCCCAUGAUGUUAGGUAACGUACAAAUAAAAACCUUGAAACAUGGAAAGACAGUAAACAGCUAAACAGUAUUUUUCUGAAACCAUUCACUCGGACAAUCAGCUGAUUUGGCUGGAAACCCGAGUAGUUAACAAAAUGUGCUAGAGAGAGAGAUUCAAUAGAUUUUUUUCCCCCUUAAAUCACAACCCUGAAAAGAGAAACACACUGUUUUCAGUUGAGGAUCUUAUCUCAGAUAUGGUCACCAAAGACACCUCUCAAAGGACCCUAGAGUGUGCCUCAAAACAUAUUUAAAAGGCUCUGACUGAGGUUGAUUUAGUGACCAGAGCAGGCAGGAGUAGCGCAGCAGCCUGCAACCGCUCUCCUGGCCCUCAGCAAGGCUUUCUGUAGGACUGCUUUCCUUACUGAGUUCUGACCAAGACCCACAGACUGGCAGGGUGAUGGUGCCCAGGAGCUGGCAGUGAGCCUCACUCCUCACAGGAGGUAUUGCAGGCCUAGGAGGCCUGAAUCCCACACUGCAGAGAAAAACCAUACUGCAGAGCACAGCUCAAUAGGGAGGAACAGUAGCUUACCAAAUCCCAUAUAAUGAAGAUUUGCCUUAAGAGUUCUGGGUCAAAUGUGUCUGAAUUAAUGCAUUCAACAUAUAUUUAAAAUUAUCGGCAUUCUAAUUUAAAUACUGAGAGUAUUGUAUAUAAAUAGUAAAACAUUAAGUUCUAUAUUUAGUCAUAUUGCAAGAGUAAUAGACAAUAGAUUGGUUUGUAUUCAGCCGAGGGUCCAGGAAAGAAAAUGUUCUAUGCUUGAAUUUCUUUGUAGAUUCACACCAUAAAUACUGUCAAACAUCAGUCAUAGAUAAACUAAACAAAGUUGUAAAGAGAGAGUGGCAGUGAUUUUUAUCUAGGCAUAGAAAUGGUCCAUAAAUGAACAACGGCCUAAAAAAUAUGUUUUUAUAACAUUUAUUCUCUUCCACCUGAAUGGUCGAAAUGUAGCCAAUGAUUCGGGGAAAAAAUGAGGUGAUUCAGGAAAAAAUGAGGUCAGAAACGAUAUUCUUGGGGGUAUAGUUCCCAUUCACUCCAUUCUGAAAGGUGGCUUUUAGUUUUGUUUUCUGAUUUCUGAUUAAAACUCUGUAAAUUAGGACCUUUAUAUCCCCAAAUUUUAGGUUUGCAUUUGAUUUUACACAAAAGGGAGGGGAUGGCGAUAUCAUACUCUGUUGGGACAAGAGCUAUCUCAAACACAAAGAAACCCCUGGCAUUCUCUUAUUUCCGUUGGGAAAAAAAAAAAAUCACCAGAAAUGGGAAUGGGUUUGAAGCACUGAAGGUUGUCACAGAUGCUCUUCCUUCCAGCAACCAUCUAGUUAUUCUGGUGGUCUCUCCUCACAGUCCCCUGAACUCUUCACAAAGCAAAAGGGGUCUAACAGUCCUGCUUACAUCAAUGUAAUUCAUAUUACAUAAUAAAAACACAGUAAUACUCCCCAACCUAAUCCUACUUGUCUACAGCAGUCCUAAACUCUCACUUCAGAAAGCUUAAUCGGUUAAAAAAAUAUAUUUUCUAAAUAGAAAUGAAACAUGUAAUAUGAAACAAUUUAAAAAGUAAGGGAGCAAGUAGAGGACUUAGUCAUCUGGUUGCUAUGAUUAAAUCCAGUGUGGUUAUUGAUUCAUGGUGUUUAUGUGCUUUUAAAAUUAAUUAUUUUCAAUUUUUUUUAUAAGUAAUCACCCAACUUAAUGUCUAUUACAAAAUUUUCCUGCUAUGAAAUUCUGUGCUCACAGCAGUUUUCCAGCAAAACAACCCAGGUGGACAAUUAGAGAGCUUUGGUGCAGAGGACCAUGGGAGUCCUUUAGCAAUCACAACUUUCAUCUAGUAGUCUGUGAAAUGAGAGCUUCUCGGGAUAAUUUAGGAACAGCUUGACCCGUUGAGACUCUCAGGAUCAACCCUCCUAGAGAAUAGUGUGUUUCUUCCAGUGAGUAAGAUGCUAGCGCAGGGAACCGAGGCAUCUGGUGUCAACAACGCCAGAGCGCCCUCUGCUGCUCCCAACAAGCAGAACACUGGUUUUAGAAGCCAGAUGGUUAAGAGUUUCAAUAAGCCCAGGAACCAGUAAGCUCUUAGGAUCAUUUAAUCUGUGGAAUUUAAGAGCUUCCAUCGGUAUUCUUCCUCCGAAAAGGCUACCCGAUUUUCAUCGGGACCACUCCUAGGACGGUUACAUUCUGAAGCGACAGGUCAUUGUUUGAAGCAGAUUGUCAAUUCUAUUGGUUGUAUUUCUGUGUCCUUUUUUUUUUUUUUUUUUUUUUUUUUUUUUU